GAUUUCUGGCUUGGUGCGCCUGGCCCACUGCCUUCAGGUAUGUGAGUGCCGGUGCGCGCCUGCCAUCCCUUCUAGAAAACGACUCUGCCCUUCACUGGGCCGGAGUCGCGAUCUAGAUCUUUUACUUUGAAAAAAUUAGAGUGUUUAAAGCAGGCUUGCGCUAUGAAUACAUUAGCAUGGAAUAAUAAUUUAGGACUUUGUUUCUAUUUUGUUGGUUUCUAGGAAUGAAGUAAUGAUUGAUAGGGAUAGUUGGGGGUGCUCGAAUUCAGCGGCCAGAGGUGAAAUUCUUGGAUUCGCUGAAGACGAACUCAUGCGAAAGCAUU
rnacentral:rRNA from 1 species